UUCCAGACUCCUACGGGAGGCAGCAGUGGGGAAUAUUGCACAAUGGGGGAAACCCUGAUGCAGCGACGCCGCGUGAGUGAAGAAGUAUUUCGGUAUGUAAAGCUCUAUCAGCAGGGAAGAAAAUGACGGUACCUGACUAAGAAGCCCCGGCUAACUACGUGCCAGCAGCCGCGGUAAUACGUAGGGGGCAAGCGUUAUCCGGAUUUACUGGGUGUAAAGGGGGCGCAGACGGCGAUGCAAGCCAGGAGUGAAAGCCCGGGGCCCAACCCCGGGACUGCUCUUGGAACUGCGUGGCUGGAGUGCAGGAGGGGCAGGCGGAAUUCCUGGUGUAGCGGUGAAAUGCGUAGAUAUCAGGAGGAACACCGGUGGCGAAGGCGGCCUGCUGGACUGCAACUGACGUUGAGGCCCGAAAGCGUGGGGAGCAAACAGGAUUAGAUACCCCUGUA
rnacentral:rRNA from 1 species